rnacentral:rRNA from 1 species
GACGAACGCUGGCGGCGUGCUUAACACAUGCAAGUCGAACGGAAAGGCCCUGCUUGCAGGGUGCUCGAGUGGCGAACGGGUGAGUAACACGUGGGUGAUCUGCCCCUUACUUUGGGAUAAGCCUGGGAAACUGGGUCUAAUACUGGAUAGGACCAUGCUGUAGGUGGUGUGGUGGAAAGAUUAGUUUCGGUAAGGGAUGAGCUCGCGGCCUAUCAGCUUGUUGGUGGGGUAAUGGCCUACCAAGGCGUCGACGGGUAGCCGGCCUGAGAGGGUGGACGGCCACAUUGGGACUGAGAGACGGCCCAGACUCCGACGGGAGGCAGCAGUGGGGAAUAUUGCACAAUGGGCGCAAGCCUGAUGCAGCGACGCCGCGUGGGGGAUGACGGCUUCGGGUUGUAAACUCCUUUCAGCCAUGACGAAGCCCUUGUGGUGACGGUAGUGGUAGAAGAAGCACCGGCUAACUACGUG